AAAACUGCACUUUUUAAACCAACAGGGUUACAGUCUCCAAAGUAUUUCUGUAUCCCUUCCUGCACAAGCACAACCUUCUUUCUUCAGAAAAUAAUCAGAACUACCUGCCAAGCUAAGCUCUGUAACAACCUCAUGCGUGGUCAGGCUGGCCUGAGGGGCACGCAUCGCCUUUAGCUGCCGAGAUUCCCCAUGUCCCACAACAGUGUAGGAGCAAAAUGGGCAGCAAAAGGAUGUUAUUUCUAACCUGGACACAUUGCCUGGGUUCUUUUGAGGUGGAAGAAAGGGACGGUACUAUUUUCUUCAGGCUCAGAAGGAUGCAGGUGUAUCAGUACCAAACCUUUCUAUGACGAGUAUCUGUGAGACCAGCGAUACCCCUGGGAAAAAUUAUUUCUUAAAGCGGGGAGAUCAAAAUAUCUGAAUCUAGCCUGCAGUUUCAGAGACACUGCUUUACAAAUACACGUCUCACUUUUGGUAACUUACUCGAAAGGAAGUGAAAAUCGGGUCUUUCUUCCUGGAUCGCCGAGAUGCAGGAAGAAUUAGCUAUGCAUGCUACCCUGAAUGCUAAGAAAACAAAACAACACGGCUAGGAAACACUCGGUCUGAGAAACAAACCUACAGCCACGAACCCAAACGGCCUGUUUCCUCUUGACGUGUUGCAGAGGACCCUGAGUGACAGUAAGGACAGCACGAUUUGGCUGCAGACCAAAAUUAAAUAAUAUGCAGCAUAGAGAACAUUAUAUGAACAGCUAUAUGAAAGGGGCGCUUGCAGCCUGAAGUGCCGCAACAGGCAGGCUGCACCGACGUGCCGGGAGGGGAAGCGGCAGCGAAAUCCACCCUCUGAACACAAGAUGUGUGGUGCUCGGUGCCGGUGCGGAGGCUACCAGAACGCCAGAUGCAUUUGCGCUAGCAGCAACGCAAAGUUUCUCUCCCCAACUCAGUGGUUUUCUCAGUCUGCUUCUUCUUAAGAGAUGCUUUGAAAUCCGACUGCCCUUUGAAGUUUCUCAAGUACAGCAUGACAUUUAUUUAAGGCAGGUUCCUUGCUCAGAAAGAAGAUCUUCAGCAGAACCUGAAGACCCUAAGAGGGCCAGUAGUGUGCUGACAUAUUCUCUCCCUGUUAAGACUAGAGAAACUAAAUUUUAAAAAAUGCCACAGUCCCUGCGUCAAUGGCCAGAAUUAGGACCUCCAAAAUUUCUAAGCAUAAUGAAAAAUGCCAUCUUUAAAAGAGACAGAAAGAGAUUGGAAAGCUCUAGAAAUGUAAAUUGUGGUUCUGCUUUGAUUUGCCUUUUAAUUUUUAAACAGAAAAUUCUUAGAUAUGGAGAUAAAAUUAAAAGGCUGUCACACAGUUCUUAUCAGACUUGUCCCAUGAGAAGACAAGGAACGGCCAAACAAUGUUCUGUUUUUCAGAAACAAAGUUCUAGCUAAUAAAAUAUAACCCUUUCUCCAGUUUCAA